rnacentral:lncRNA from 1 species
UGAGGAAGAGGACAUUGGUUAUCCCCACAGAGUUUAUGCAUGAAGUUUGGCUCACAGCACUGUGAUGGCCUAAGUAUAGAAACACACAUGUGACAGUUGCCUAAGAUGUUUGACUAUGGACCACAGUUUUGACAGCUGGAGAGAAAGUGAAUAAACGAGAGAAAUUCUGAAGUGUGUAGGAGGAAAGUCUCCAUGCAAGGAUCAUCAGUCAGCCGCCACUUUCCUGGUAAAGAAGAAGACAUAGUUCUU